CAGCACAGCCCCUUCUAAACUAAAGAAUCACUUCUGGGUUCCUGUCAACCUGCUUGGGAUUUAUUUCUCAGGUAGCGUGGGCACCAAAAAUCCUCUGAAUCUACCUGGGAUGUUUACCCAGAGCAGUGUGGACCUAGCAGUCCUUCCGGAAAAAAGAGCAAAACCUGCUCAGAGCUAUUAAUACCGAAGAACUCCCGAGACCAGCAGCCGGUGAGCAGCCGCAGCAGAGCCCGCCCAUGGUGUCCGGCACAAGCUGCCACCAUGUACUGUGGCCAGCAGAGGCGGUGAACAGCAGCCGGCUGUGUCGACUCUUGGCAUCCAGCGCCACCUGGACGACCAGGGAAAAGGAGACACGGUUCACGGAGGGGAGCAGAGAGGCAGCCUGAGGAAGCCAGCAGGAAACCUGCAAUGAACGUGAGAGAGGAAACAGAAGUCAAUCUGUGCCAGGCAACUCUGAAGGCCCAGGCGAGUCUUACAGUGAUCUAAAACAGACUGACUAAUAACAGUGGCCUUGGAGGUGAGUGAAUGGGGAGCAUAUUCGGUGCAGCUCCCAGUACUGUUCUCCGUGCCUCAGUUUCUCCCUCUCUAAAGUAGGGGUGGUGUAUCUCCCUUGUGGGGUUGUGGUGAAGGGCAGAUGAGGCAAUGCAUGCACAUCCGGGCACAGAAUGGGGCACAGGACACAGGCUCACCACAGGGACUCUGUCCUCACCACCCCUGUGUGGCCCUGCCCAGGUCCUUCUGCACCUCAGCUCCCACCCCCCACCCUGGGAGCUCCCGAGGAUCCCCAGGUCUCAGUUCAGACUUUCCUCUUUCCAACCGGAUGGUGAGUUCCUUCAGGGGACACUGAGUCUUGUGGCUGAAAUUGCCGAAUCGCCAAUGGCAGCGCCCGCGCUUCCCGGUUCGAGGGCUCCGGGGGCCCCGCCAGCCU
rnacentral:lncRNA from 1 species